rnacentral:tRNA from 1 species
GGGUCGAUGCCCGAGCGGUUAAUGGGGACGGACUGUAAAUUCGUUGACGAUAUGUCUACGCUGGUUCAAAUCCAGCUCGGCCCAAUCCCA